rnacentral:tRNA from 1 species
GCGGAUGUAGCUCAGCUGGUAGAGCGCAACCUUGCCAAGGUUGAGGUCGCGGGUUCGAGCCCCGUCAUCCGCU